CGGGCAUGAGGAAGACGGUAAUCCGCUCGUUUUGGGAACGAGAAAAACUCGGUUCGACUCCGAGAUGCCCGACC
rnacentral:tRNA from 1 species